AUCUGCCUACACCCACUACCGCACUAUACCCUAUACCAGACAGUAUACUCAAAUACUUCCUUGUAUUGCUGCUUGGUGAUACCCUGGCUGAGGAAAACGCUUAUAAAUCCGUGGAAAUCCCACUAAAUUCGCGAUGUGGGACUAAAGUUUCCACUUUCCAGGUAGAGCUUACCCGUAGCAGCCGGCCGGCGUCUGCUCCCACUCAACCGCGAGUCCCGCUUCCGUCCGCCGUCGAGGAACUCGUGUCCGGCGUGGGGAACGACGGCGACGCGCCGAUGCGGGAGCCCCGCGCUCCUCCUCCUCCUCCUCCCACGGUGGCCGCCGGCGGUCGUCCCCUCCCCUGCUCACUGGCCUCGACUCGAAGUGAUCCUAUCCUACACUCGCGGGAUGGCGCGGCGAGGCUGGAAGGGAGGAAGAAGGAAGGAAUGCGGCGGAGGAGGCUGCACUUCGGCGAGGGAUUUGGGAGAGGAGACGGCCGGAGUUGAGAUUGAUGCACUUUUUUUUUUGAGGUCGAUGCACCUCCGCACUCUAUAACACGGCCGUGCAGGUGGAUGGAUAUGGGCCCAUAGAAAAUACGGGCCGGGUCCUCCCAUUGACGGCCCAGGUUACAUGUCAUGUGUGCUCGCGUGAGCCCGUGACCGUGAACGAGACGGACCAGGACCGCGUCCCUCUUGUAACGGGCGACGGCAGCCGAGAUCCGCGGCGGCGGCGGCGCCCAGCCUCAGCCUCGCCGCCGCGGAGAGCCGGGGCAGAGAGGGGUCGGGGAUGUUAGGAAUGCGGGCGAGCACCGCGGUAGCAUCUCUAUCGCGGAUGGGCACGGAGCCACGGACGCGCACCUCUACGGCGACCCGAACGACGCCGCCAUCCCGACGCUCCUCCGCUCCCGCUUCCACGGCGACAAGUUCGACGCGCUCAACCACCUCCUCGCCCUCAUCUCUCAGGGCGUCGACGUCGCCCACCUCUCCCCGCAGGCAGUCAAGAACGUGGUGGCGCAGUCGCUUGAGCUGAAGAAGCUCGUCUCUUCUACAGCUCUACCUGCUCCACUACGCCGGGAGGUGCUACUGCCAAGGCUGGAUUUGAUUGCAGAAUCCUACACCAGGAGCAGCGUCUGGCCACAACAGUUGUGGACCGGGAAUGCAAGCCGGAUCACCUCCAUGUGGGCUGCUAUUGCAAGUAAACUUUUUUUGGAAGAUUCAAGGACGUUUGACGAGUGACCAAAAGCAUUGAAGACUUUGCAGAGCGAGGCAAGCAACCUACUUUGAUCAUGCUCAAUCCAUAUUUGCACACACUUAGAAUUAUUUUUCAUGCAUAAAAUAUUGUUUACUAGUAUUGAUAUGCUAAGUAAAUUAGCUUGGGCUUAACUGUGCCCUAUGUUCCUGAUAUUGCCGCACCUCUUUGACAUUCUCAAUUCCCAACUUUCUAACAAUAGUACUACAAAUACCAACUGGUUACCAAUAAAUGUGGUCAUAGGUGCAAAUUUAAUAGUUAUGCUUAGGCAUGCUAGUCACAUAAAUCAUAGGCUUGGGAAGAAUCUUUGUUACUCAUAACAAAAACCUAAGGGUGCCACUAAUGCCCAUCGGAUAAUUAUGAAAAUAAGGUUUUACAAAAUGGAGAUGAAGUGGAGAUGUUUUUAAAAAGGCAUAGUGCAAGUGCUGCAAGUCAUAUCAACCUUACAUGUGCAAGCACAUUACCCUAUAUGGGACGAGGCUAGACGAAGUACAUUGGUGGAUUAUGAGAUUUUAGAUCUGUUGGUGAUCAUGAUGAUUAUUACAUUGGUGGAUAAACCAUAAUUAAUUAAUCUUGAAACUAUUUGGAUUUAAUUAGGUGAUUGUGAAUUUAAACAAAAUUUCAUGAUGGGUUAUGGAAUUCUAGGUGGAUUUACUUAGGUGAUUGUGAUCUUGAAGAGAUAGUCAAAGAUUUUGGUGGAAUAUAAAAUUUUAGGUGUAGUUGAUGUGCAUGAUGAUUAUUAUAUUGGUGGACAAACAAAUUUUUAAUUUUUGUUGUAACAAUUUGGGUUUAGUUAUGUGAUCGUGAUAUUGAACCGAAUUUUAUGGUGGAUUAUGAUAUUUUAGAUGGAUUUAGUUAUAUUUUUCGGCGGAUUACGAGAUUUUAGGUCUAGUUGAUGAGCAUGAUGAUGAUUAUUGUAUUGGUGGAUAAAUCGAUCUUUAAUUUAUUUUGGAACAAUUUGGAUUUAGUUAGGUGAUUGUGAUCUUUACCCAAAUUUCACGGUGGAUUAUGUGAUUUUAGAUGGAUUUAGUUAGGUGAUUGUGAUUAUAAGGAGAUAGACAAAGAUGCUCGGUGGAUUAUGACGUAUUAGGUCUGAUUGGUGAUCAUGUUGAAGCAAAUUUCAUGGUAGAUGAGAUUUUAGAUGGAUUUAGCUAGCUGUCUGUGAUCUUGAGGAAAUAUUUAAAUAUGCUUAGUGGAUUAUGACAUUUUAGGUCUGGUAGGUGAUCAUGAUGAUUAUUAUAUUGGUGGAUAAGCACAUCAUUAAUUAAUCUUGAAACCAUUGUUGACAAAAUUGUUAACUAGUAGUUGCUCGGUUGGCUGGCGAGUAGCGGAUUAAUAGGCUGGUCGGCAAGUUAAUCCAUAAUCAGACGAUUUAUUAGUUUAUCGGCUACUCGGUGACCCUAUGAGUAGGGAUUAAUCGAUCAGUUAACUGGUUAAUCCGGAGAAUUCUUGAACUGGGCCUGAAACAAUUUAGAUUUAGUAAGGUGAUUGUGAUUUUGAACCAAAUCUCAGGGUAGAUUAUGAGAUUUUUGUGGAUUUGGUUAGGCGAUUGUGAUCUUGAAGAGAUAGUCAAAUAUACUCGGUGGAUUAUAAGAUUUUAGGCCUAUUUGAUGAGCAUGAUGAUUAUUAUAUUGGUGGGUAAAUAGAUUUUCAGUUUACCUUGGAACAAUUUGGAUUUGAUUAGAUGAUUAUAAGAUUAUAGGUGGAUUUAGUAAGGUGAUUAUAAUCUUGACUCAAAUUUUAUGGUCGAUUAUGAUAUUUUAGAUGGAUUUAGUUAGGUCGUUAUGAUCAUGAGGAGAUAGUCUAGAUGCUCGGUGGAUUAUGAGAUUUUAGGUUUGUUGGUGAUCAUGAUGAUUAUUAUAUUUGUGGAUAAACAAUCAUUAAUUUAUCUUAGGAGUUAUUUGGAUUUAGUUAGGUGAUUGUGAUUUUAAACUAAAUUUCACGAUGGAUUAUGACAUUAUAGGUGGAUUUAGUUAGGUGAUUGUGAUCUUGAAGAGAUAGUCAAAGAUUUCAGUGGAUUAUAAGAUUUUAAGCGUAGUUGAUGUGCAUGAUGAUUAUUAUAUUGGUGGAUAAACAGAUUUAGUUACGUGAUUGUGAUGUUGAAUCGAAUUUCAUGUUGAACUAUGAUGUUUUAGAUGGAUUUAGUUAGAUGAUUGUGAUCUUGAGGAGUAGUCAAAAGUUGUUCGGUGGAUUACGAGAUUUUAGAUCUAGUUGAUGAGCAUGAUGAUUAUUGUAUUGGUGGAUAAUAGAUCUUUAAUUUAUUUUGGAACAACUUGGAUUUAGUUAGGUGAUUGAGAUCUUUACCCAAAUUUCACGGUGGAUUAUGAGAUUUUAGACAGAUUUAGUUAGGUGAUUGUGAUUUUAAGGAGAUUGUCAAAGAUGCUCGGUGCAUUAUGAAGUUUUAGGUCUUAUUGGUGAACAUGUUGAAGCAAAUUUCAUGGUAGAUGGGAUUUUAGAUGGAUCUAGCUAGGUGAUUGCGAUCUUGAGGAAAUAGUUAAAUAUGCUCGAUGGAUUAUGACAUUCUAGGUCUGGUAGGUGAUCAAGAUGAUUAUUAUAUUGGUGGAUAAGCACAUCAUUAAUUAAUCUUGAAACGUUUGUUGAGAAAAUCGUUAAGGGGUAGCUGCUCGGUUGACUGUCGAGUACGGGAUUAAUAGGCUAAUCGGCAAGUUAAUCUAUUAAUCGGACGAUUUAUUAGUUUAUCGGGUACUCGGUGACCCUACGAGUAGGGGUUAAUUGGUCAGUUAACUGGUUAAUCUGAUGAAUUCUUGAAUAGGGCCUAAAAUAAUUUGGAUUUAGUUACGAGAUUCUUAUUUUGAAUCAAAUUUCACGAUUGAUUAUGAGAUUUUUGGUGGAUUUCGUUAGGUGAUUGUGACCUUGAAAAGAUAGUCUAGUAUGUUUAGUGGAUUAUAAGAUUUUAGUCCCAUUUGAUGAGCAUGAUGAUUAUUAUAUUGGUGGGUAAACAUAUUUUUAAUUAUCUUGAAUCAAUUUGGAUUUAGUUAGGCGAUUAUAAGAUUUUAGGUGGAUUUUGUUAGGUGAUUGUGAUCUUGAGGAGAUAGUCAAAGAUGUUCGGUGGAUUAUUAGAUUAUAGGCCUAGUUGAUGAGCAUGAUGAUUAUUAUAUUGGUGGAUAAACUGAUCUUUAAUUUAUUGUGAAAAUUUUGGAUAUAAUUAGGUGAUUGUGAUUUGCCCCAAAUUUUAUGGUGGAUUAUGAGAUUUUAGAUGGAUUUAGUUAUGUGGUUAUGAUCUUGAGAAGAUAGCCUAAGAUGCUCGGUGGAUUAUGAGAUUUUAGGUUUGUUGGUGAUCAUGAUGAUUAUUAUAUUGGUGGAUAAACAAUCAUUAAUUGGAGUUAUUUGGAUUUAGUUAAGUGAUUGUGCUUUUAAACAAUAUUUAACGAUGGAUUUUGAGAUUCUAGGUGGAUUUAACUAUAUGAUUGUAAUCUUGAAUUUAGUUAUGUUGGAACAAUUUGGAUUUAGUUAUGUGAUUGUGACAUUGAACCGAAUUUUAUGGUGGAUUAUGAUAUUUUAAAUGGAUUUAGUUGUGAUAUUGAGGAGUAGUCAAAGUUGUUCGAUGGAUUACGAGAUUUUAGAUCUAGUUGAUGAGCAUGAUGAUUAUUGUAUUGGUGGAUAACUUGAUCUUUAAUUUAUUUUGGAACAAUUUGGAUUUAGUUAGGUGAUUAUGAUCAUUACCCAAAUUUCACGUUGGACUAUGGGAUUUUAGAUGGAUUGGUUAGGUGAUUGUGAUUUUAAGAAGAUAGUCAAAGAUUCUUGGUGGAUUAUAAUAUUUUAGGUCUUAUUGGUGAUCUCGUUAAAGCAAAUUUCAUAUGGUAGAUGAGAUUUUAGAUGGACUUAGUUAGGUGAUUGUGAUCUUGAGGAAAUAGUCAAAUAUGCUUGGUGGAUUAUGACAUUCUUGGUCUGAUAGGUGAUCAUGAUGAUUAUUAUAUUGGUGGAUAAGCACAUCAUUAAUUAAUCUUGAAACCAAUGUUGAGAAAAUUGUUAACUGGUAGCUGCCCGGUUGGCUGGCGAGUACGGGAUUAAUAGGCUAAUCGACAAGUUAAUUGGCUAUUCGGGGACCCUACGAGUAGGGAUUAAUCGGCCAGUUAACUGGUUAAUUGGACGAAUUCUUGAACAGGGCCUGAAACAAUUUGGAUUUAGUUGGGCGAGUCUUAUUUUGAACCAAAUUUCAUGAUUGAUUAUGAUAUUUUGAUGGAUUUAGUUAGGUGAUUGUGAUCUUGAAAAGAUAGUCAAAUAUGUUCAGUCGGUUAUAAGAUUUUAGGCCCAUCUGAUGAGCAUGAUGAUUGUUAUAUUGGUGGGAAAAUAGAUUUUAAUUUAUUUGGAACAAUUUGGAUUUAGGCUGGUGGUUAUAAGAUUUUAGGUGGAUUUAGUUAGGUGAUUGUGAUAUUGAGGAGAUAGUUAGAGAUGUCCGGUGGAUUAUGAGAUUAUAGACCUAGUUGAUGAGCAUGAUGAUUAUUAUAUUGAUGGAUAAACAUAUCUUGGAAAAUUUGGAUUUAAUUAGGUGAUUGUGAUCUUAACCCAAAUUUCAUGGUGGAUUAUGAGAUUUGAGAUGGAUUAGUUAGGUGGUUAUGAUCUUGAGAAGAUAGUCUAAGAUGCUUGGUGGAUUAUAACAUUUUAGUCGGAUUUAGUUAGGUGAUUGUGAUUAUAAGGAGAAAGUCAAAUAUGCUCGGUGGAUUAGGAGAUUUUAGGUGUGAUUGGUGAUCAUCUUGAAGUAAAUUUCACGGUAGAUGAGAUUUUAGGUGGAUUUAGUUAGGUGAUUGUAAUCUUGAGGAGAUAGUCAAAUGUGCUCGAUGGAUUAUAACAGUCGGUGAUCAUCAUGAUUAUUAUAUUGGUGGAUAAGCACAUCAUUAAUUAAUCUUGAAGCAAUUUGGAUUUAGUUAGAUGAUUGUCAUUCUGAACCAAAUUUCAUGGUGGAUUAUGAGAUUUUACAUGGAUUUAAUUAGGUGAUUGUUAUCUUGAAGAGAUAAUCAAAUAUGUUCGGUGUAUUAUAAGAUUUUAGGUCUAGUUGAUGAGCAUGAUGAUUAUUAUAUUGGUGGAUAAAUAGAUUUUCAAUUUUUCUUGUAACUAUUUUGAUUUAGUUAGGUGAUUAUGAUUAGAAGAUUUUUGGUGAAUUUAGUUAGAUGAUUGUGAUCUUGAGGAGAUAGUCAAAGAUGUUUGGUGGAUUAAUGGAUUAUAGGCCUAGUUGAUGAGCAUGAUGAUUAUUAUAUUGGUGGAUAAACAUAUCUUUAAUUUAUCUUGGAAAAUUUGGAUUUAGUUAGGUGAUUGUGAUCUUGACCCAAAUUUCAUGGUGGAUUAUGUAAUUUUAGAUGGAUUUUGUUAGGUGGUUGUGAUCUUGAGAAGAUAGUUUAAGAUGCUCGAUGGAUUAUGAGAUUUUAGGUCUGUUGGUGUUCAUGAUGAUUAUUAUAUUGAUUGAUACACAUCAUUAAUUAAUCUUGAAACUAUUUGGAUUUAGUUAGGUGAUUGUGACUUUAAACUAAAUUUCACGGUGAAUUAUGAGAUUGUAGGUGGAUAUUCGGGGGAUUAUAAGAUUUUAGAUGGUUCUUAUAUUGGUGGAUAAACAUAUUUUAAAUUUAUCUUGGAACAAUUUGGAUUUAGUUAGGUGAUUGUGACAUUGAACCGAAUUUCAUGGUGGAUUAUGAGAUUUUAGGUAGAUUUAGUUAGAAGAGUGUGAUCUUGAGGAGGUAGUCAAAAGUUGUUCGGUGGAUUAUGAGAUUUUAGGUCUAGUUGAUGAGCAUGAUGAUUAUUGUAUUGGUGGAUAAACAGAUCUUUAAUUUAUUUUGGAACAAUUUGAUUUGGUUAGGUGAUUGUGAUCUUGAAGAGAUAGUCAAACAUGUUCGAUGGAGUAUGAGCGCUUUAGAGAGUUGAAGAAAAGGUUUAUGAAAAGUUACCAGUCUUUGAGUUUAAGAAAAGGAUAUAGUAAAAAAAUGUGCGAUGGAUUAUAUUGGUGGAUAUUAUUUAUGGAUGGAUUUCGAGCAUUACCGAUUACUUGAGUUAUGAAGAAAGAUACUCCCUUCGUUUCAUAAUGUAGUGCAUAUAAAUUUUCUGAAAAGUCAAACUUAGCAAACUUUGACCAAGUUUAAGAAAAAAACUAUCUAUAUCUACAAUACUAAAUAUGUAUAAUAUGAAAUUUUAACUCACGAUGUAUACGAUGAUAUGUAUUUGGUAUUCUAAAUAAAAAUGUUUUUUUCUUUAAUUAUGGUCAAAUUUUGCAAAGUUUUUUUUCGAGAAAACGCAAAAUAGUCUUUGCGUUUCAUUUCAUUGAAAAGAAGAGAAGGUACAGUCCUCCUAGGAGGUGGGGGUUACAUGGGCUAGCACCCUAUCAGUGAACAUCCCAGUCAGUGGGAAGGACUACCCUGAGGCCCAUAGCGCUGGCUUGUGCCCAACAUUUGGCUUCGGCCUUAAUCCUAUUUACGAGUGUGUUAACCGAGGGUCGAGCGUUCUCGAAGACAUACUCAUUCCACUGCUUCCAGAUCAUCCAAGGAACUAGCAUGACAAUAGAUUGCAGGCCUUUCCGUAGCGCAUGUGGGGUCUGCCCUUUCGUUCGCUACCACCAGUCCGUAAGGUUGGGCUCGUUGUUCGGCGGCUGUGAAGGUAUCCUCGCCCAGCCAAGGACAUCGUGCCACAUUGUCUCUAGGGCCUAAUCGCAAAGGAGGCAUCGUGGGUGGUGCUGUAGGCCACGACGGGCGAGUCGUUCUGCCGUCCAACACCGGUUUCUGGCUAGCCACCCAGUGAAAGAAUCGGACGCGGCGCGGCACCCAGCUCUUCCAGGUAAGCUUCCAGGAGGGGCAUUUCGUGGACCCGUGGAAGGUUGCAGCGUAGCAGGACUAUGCCGUGUAGGUGCCACUUGCAGUCCAUCUCCAUAUCAUUCGGUCAGGCAUGUGUGUUAAGCUGAUCUGCUGCACGGCCUGCCAUAGCAUCAGGUAUUGGCCAAUCUCAUGAAUCCCGAGCACUCCUUGAAUGUCACGAGCCCAAGCGUUGCACGCAAGGCCUGCGGCCACCGUUCUUGAUUUGCGUCGCCGUUUGGGUAUGCACUGGUAGAGUGUCGGUGCGAGUUCACGCACGGACUGACCGUUGAGCCAUCUGUCAUCCCAAAGCAGUGUCGUCAAUCCAUCGCCAAGCGCCAUGGUCGUCGAUGCGAAGAACAACGUGCGCUUCUCGCGGGAAAAUUGGAGGUCGAGCCCAUGCCAUGCGCGGUAGGCGUCCGUGUGGGAGAACCACAGCCAGCGCAGGCGCAACGCGAGGCCAGCGCGCUCCAGGUCCUGGACCCCCAGCCCGCCGUACUCAAGCGGACGGCACACACGGCGCCAGUUGACGUGACAGUGUCCGCCGUUAGCAGCAGCGCGCCCAGCCCACAAGAAGCCGCACUGGAUCUUUUCGAGCUGCCUCAGGGUCUUCUUGGGUGGCGCAAACGCGGGCAGUUUAUGUAUCGGGAUUGCGGCGAGCACCGAUUUGACCAAAACCAGCCGCCCGGUUUUGUUCAUGAGCCAAGCUUUCCAAGUGGGGAGCUGGGCGGCCACCGAGUCGACGAGGGGUUGUAGUUGGGCGGCAGAGAGGCAGCGUAGCGUGAGCGGGAUCCCGAGAUAAGUAAUGGGCAGCUUCGCUUUCGCACAUCCCACCUGAGCAAUUAUAGCAUCCGCCUCGGGGUCACCAUUGAGGGUAGUAGCAGAACUCGUGGUAUAGUUCACUCGGAGGUCGCUUGCUUCACUAAACAGGUUCAGGAUCCCACGGACGGCCUCCACGUCGCCUUGCGUGGUAUGGCAGAAGAGCAUCACGUCAUCGGCGUACAAAGAUAUGGCCGGAAUGUCACGUCGGGGGUGCAGCCGCUCUAGGAUGCCGGCGUCGUGGGCGCGGCUGAUCAGGCGCCCAAGGAUGUCCACGGCGAGCACGAAGAGCUGCGAUGAUACGGAGUCGCCCUGACGCAGCCCGCAGCUGUGCCAAAUUGGCAGUCCCGGCUCACCAUUGAUCAUGAUUUGAGUGCUCGAUGAUGAUAGCAAGAUCGCAAGCCAUUCCCUGAAGCGAGGUCUGAAUCCGUACUCGCCAAGAACCUCAAAGAGGAAGGGCCAAGAUAGGGAGUCGAAGGCUCGCGUUAGGUCAAGCUUGAGCAUCACUCUCAGGACUCCUAGUUGGUGCAGCAGCUUCAUCGAUUGCUUGACGAGGGCAAAGUUGUCGUGCAGGCUCCGUCCCGGGAUGAAAGCGUUUUGGUUGCGGCUAACCAUAUCUCCCAAUCUGGGUGCGAGGCGGAGCGAUAGCACCUUCUCGAAGAUCUUCGCCACGAGGUGAAUGAGGCAUAUUGGCCGGUAGUCGCGGAGCUGGCAGGCGUCUGCACGCUUCGGGAGCAAUGUCAAGAGGGCUUGGUUGAGCUUGCUGAAGCCGCGACCGCGCAACUCAAAAAGUUGCUGGAAAACGUCGACGAAGUCUUGUUUAACAAUGCUCCAGCAGGCCCGUAGGAAUUCCGCGGUAAAGCCAUCCGGUCCUGGCGCUUUACGGGCCGAGAGGCGCUUGACGGCAUCCCAAAUCUCCUCCGGGCUAAAUGGUGCCUCGAGGUCGGUCAGGUCAUGCGGCUUGAUGAGCUACGAUAGGUCCAGUGCGUGGUUGCGGGCGACGGAGGAGCCAAGUAGCUCGUCAAAGUGCAUGAAGGCCGCUUGGGCCAUUCCCUCCUGGUCAGUGAUCGCGUGUCCUUAGACCACGAGGCUGAAUAUGUGGUUCUUCUGUCGGCGGAAUGAGCAUUGCCGAUGGAAGAAGGUCAUGUUAGCGUCACCGUCCUUGAGCGUGGUGAUCCGCGCUCGCUGCCUCGCGAUCGUGCGCUCGAUAGAAGCCAGCCCCAAGUAUGAGAUCUUGAGCUGUUUUCACAGCCAAUCCUCUCGGCGAUAGGGUAGGUGAGGGUCCUGAUGGUGGGCUUGUCGGAGCUCAGGCGUGCAGGGAUCUGCUCAACAAUCUCCAGAACGGCGGCGUGAUGGAUGUUGUCGGGGUGGUGUGUGCGCGCGGCCAGCUUGAACGUCGCAAGAUUGGCCCUGGAGCACGUCCUGGGAUGGAGGCGUUCGAUCCAGCAGCUCGUACCCAGGACAUGCUCGGCGCUGGACAGGUGCCAAGCCUGUGCCGGAACGCUGCGGAGCUCCAGCUCAACGUAGUACUCAAGCUCGCCGGAGCCAGCAUGGGCGAGCUUACUCCAUGGUCUGAGGGAGAGCGAGAACCGCGGCAAGUUGAUGAAGUGCUCUCCGUUGAGGCGGCGCUUGGUGGUGUGGGAGCUGAAGAGGAUCAAGAAAUCCUCGGGAUGGUGUUCGUGCACGGUGAAGUCGUCGUCGUCCAGCUCGAACGUGUUGAUGAGCACGUCGGAGACCUCUGUGCCGGAUACACGUGGUCGGUUGCCGGUGAUGGAGGCGACCAUUUCGCGGCUUAGGACCUCCUCAGCCUCCUCCAUCUCGACGGAGUGUGCCAUGAUCACCCGCAUGGGCUCGGGCUCCGACGUGCGAGGGGGGGGGGCAACGACUAGGGCGGUCGCCUGCGGCAGGGGUGGCGGCGGAGGUGCGGCCUGGCGCAUGGCGGCGUCCAUGGCAGAGGGGCCAACGCGGUUGUUGGUGGUGCGGGCACGUCCAGCGGCGUCGUGGCGCCUGCUUCCGCAGGAGCGUGAGUCGUGGCCAGACUCGAGGCAUCGGCGGCAGCGGAUGUCGUUGGGGCAGUCCCGAACCCAAUGACGAUGGCCAAGGCAGCGGAAGCAGAGCCCCGCGACCUUCUCUGGCGAUGGGCUGCACCAGCGCAGCGGCGGAGGGCUUGGCCCGACCGGAGUGCGCGGGCGGCUUCUGCGGUGCCUGCAUCGUGGCUGCUGGAAGCCGUCAGCAUCGACGUGAACCCCGCCGGAGACGCGGUGCACCUCGGAACGGGGGCCGAGGCGGGUCGAGGCGGGCUGCCGAGGGGGCGUCGGGGCCGGCGGGGUCCGGGCGACGUUGCUGUAGGAACGUGGCGAGGGCUCGCUCUCCAAGUCGAACACGCUGCCACCAGAGGACACGCAGUCGCCGUCGGAGAGGGUCGCUCGGCGCCCAGCAGGGUCAGCACCGGAAGACGCCAUGGCGGGGGCUGAGGAGGCUGGGGAAGGGGCUCGGGGUUGGGUGAAGGGCCGCCGACGAGGAUUCAAUGGCAGCCGGGCUAGAGGUGGGAGAGAGCUAGGUGGGGGUGGGAGCGGAGCAUGCUCACCAAGCUCCACACGUCGUCCUGUAAACACCAAACCUGGCUCUUCUUUUGCAAAGUUUUGACUUUUGAAAAAAAUCUAUACGCACUACAUUAUGGAACUAAGGGAGUAAGAAGUUUGAAUGGACGUCCAAGUGUCAAGAGAGCUUUCGAGAGUUCAAGAAAAGGUUAACUGCCGCUUCGUUCGUAGCCACCGCCGGAGUUUUGAAGUUACUGUGAGGCAUCUAAGCAUGGACUUCUUUUUGUCUUGAUGUAAGAAGGAAGAGUCGUAGCCUAUCUAUCAAGGCAACAUCGUCCUCAUGAUGAGAAUUACCCUAACAAUGAUUUGGGUCUAGUAGCAGUAGUGCAUGCUCUUAAGACAUGGCAUUAGUACUUCAUAGGUAAUCUCUUCAAGAUCUACACGGAAUGCAAUAGCUUUACGUUUGUCUUCUGCCAGAUGGACUUGACCACUAUGACUUUGGUAUCUAUUACCAUCUUGAUAAGGCUAAUGUCGCCGUGGAUACCAUCAACAGGAAGCCAUGUCCCUGCUAUACCUUGACCAAGCAAAGCAACCAGUGCUACAUUAAGGCUUCGAGAAAUUUGGCGUAGAGCUAGUCAGUAGUGUCCAUCUCGCAAACUUUGAGAUUAGACCCACUUGAAUAAAGAAGAAUAGAAGAAAUCAAGAAAAUGAUCAAGUAAGGCAGAGCCCUGGAUUCUCAAAAGACGGCCACAGAGUUCUUUGGUUUGGAGGUCGCAUCUGCGUACCUAACCAAAAAGGUAUGAAGAAGUGGAAUCUACCAGAAACUCGUGGCACCACUUUAUUCCAUCCACAUAGGGAGUACCCAAGUUAUACCAGGACCUCAAGAAGGAGUUCUUGGUUGGACAGAAUGGAGUUUUAUAUAGCCCCCCUACUUACCAAUGUCAAGUCAAGGCCAUGAUUCUAUUUGGGUCAUAAUUGACCAUUUGCCUAAGCUUGUCAUCCUCCCAUUAAGACUUCACACCAAACAUUUGCGAGCCGACUGGCUGAUAACAACCUCUUCCAGAUUUUAACUCUCCAUGAAGUUCUCAAGAAGGUUGUUACAGGUAUCGAGUUUACCUUCAGACCUUGGAGAUACCCAAGAAGCUAUGGUAAUCAAAUAUUUCAUCAAACCCGACCUCUGCUAAGACAACCACCGAGGUGUCGACCCCCACACCUAUCCAACUUACAUGAGAUCUCGACUUCUUGUCCUUGCUAAAGCUAUAUGUCAGAAGCUGCAUCAUCGAGUACCUCUGUUAUUAAGGAGAUAGUUGAAGCUGUUUGAUGGAUUAUGAGAUUUUCGGUCUAGUAGGUGAGUAUGGUGAUUAUUAUAUUGGUGGAUAAAAUAAUCAUUAAUUAAUCUUGGAAUAAUUUGGAUUUGGUUAGGGUGAACCAAAUUUCAUUAUGGAUUAUGAGGUUUUAGGUGGAUUUAGUUAUGUGAUUAUUAUCUUGAGGAGAUGGUCAAAUAAGUUCGAUGGAUUAUGAGAAUUUAUGUCUAGCAGAUGAGCAUGAUGAUUAUUAUAUUGGUGGAUAAACAAUUUUUUAAUUAAUCUUGGAACAAUUUGGAUUUAGUUAGGUGAUUGUGAUCUUGAACCAAUUUUCAUGAUGGAUUAUGAAAGAUGAAACAGAAUCUUCAACAACCAAAAUGGAUGUUAAAAAGCACAUAUAUUUUUAUGAUAAAGGGUGACGAUGUCCCAACCUAGGGAUCUCUCACCACGUCGGUUCCCAGCCUCGUGGGCUUGGCUGAGGACCCCUAGGUCGGUUCCGCCUGGGGCCACGUUGGCGGCCCAUAACUAUUAUACGGAAGACUCUAGAAACUUGUAGUACAAGCCGAAGAUGCCAGAGCCCGGGGGCCCCUACCUCCACUGAUGUAGCCAACUAGGAUCUGUAACCCUAGGACCGGGCUCAUCGAUAGAACAUAAUAUAAUCCCUUGGUGUUCACUUGUACUUUGUACACACCCCAAUCGCAAUAUACAAGAGCAGGAGUUGGGUAUUACCUCGAUCAUGAAGGCCUGAACCUGGGUAAAAGCUCGCCUCCUCUUACCCAGCCUAAUCGCCUAGCCGGGAUACUCUAAUCUGCGGAAAUUGUCUCCGAUAGUGGUGGCCCAUGCCGGCCCGCUAGGUGAACUCAGAGGCUUGAUGGGUGUUCAAAAUGAAUCCAGCGCAAUCUAUGUGCCAGGACACAGCGGCGCACCGGCAAAAAACUUAUGCCUGGUCCACGAGCCAGAUCACAACUUCUGGCGAUCUGGCCAGCACGGCCUCCCGGCGUAUUGACAAGUCCAAGUCCCGUCACCAAGAUUGCCAUCGGCCUCUGACCGGCGAGGGGGCUGCUCAGACGAUUUACCAGCCCAAUUCUGCUUGGGGGCACGCCACACGGCCCGAUGUACCACACGGUUCGCCUCGUACGAGACCUUAGAGAGAUAUCAACUUGGCUGCGUGUCCAAGCUGUGGACAGACACCGGCCAGCCUUCAGCAAGAAUGAUCAGGCAGCCGGCCUAAACGAUGCAUGUUAUACCAUAGAAGCCAUCUGAUCAGCAACGGCGGGUCCAUCUAUGAUGUAUCCGCCCUGCUUCUCGGAUAAGAUCAUUGUUCGUCCCUUCCUGUCAAACUUCAAGAUCACCAAUGGUGACAAGUACGAUGGUGACACGGAUCCCGCGAUUUGGAUCUCGGAUUGCAUCUUUGCAAUCCAGGUUGCUAACGGCGAUGACUACCAUGUAGUGAAGCAUCUUCCCCUCAUGCUGAAAGGACUAGCACGAGCUUGGCUUCCCACCCUCCCUUCGGGUUGAUCAGAAGCUUGGAGGACCUUCGGGUUGAGUUCAUGGCAAACUUCUGAGGUACAUAUGUCCAGCCUGCUGAUGCCAGCGACCUGAGCAUCAUGAAGCAAGGGAAGAAUGAGUCAGUACGUAGCUGCUAGACUGAUUCUUGGAAAAGAAAAACGAGAUUGUUGACUGCAACGAUGUCGAGGCCACCGCUACUUUUAAGCACGACUCCAAUGAUGAGUUCCUCUCCUGGGACUUCUGUCACUUCAAAGCCAAGAUCAUGCUAGAUCUCAUGGAGAUGAUGACUAGAUUUUGCGCUGGUGAGGACACAUGGCUCGCCAAAAAAAUGGUCGUGGAGAAGACCCCCGGGCCGUCCGAUACGAAGGACGGGAACGGGAAGUCUAGGCGCAACCGCGGGAACAAGUGUCAGGCUGGCGGUGGAGAGGUUGUUUCAAGGAAAGAAAGGCGAGGGCAGCAACUCGACCCUGGAUAAGAUCCUAGAUCGACCCUGCAACACCCAUGGUCCGAAGAAUGACGGUGACCCUCCUGCAACCCACACAAACCAGAACCGUUGGGUCCACAAGAAGGCCGUGCAGUCCAGCAAGGGCAAUGCCGACAAGCCAAAUCCUUGCAAUAAUGAUGACGAGGACAACCCGCAGCCCGGAAAAGGCAACGGGCGGUCAGAAGCAGUUCCCACUGCAAUAAAGUAUCUGAAUAUGAUUUAUCCAUCUCACACCUCAAAAAAAGAGUGAAAGUGCGCCCUCCGCGAGGUAUAUGCCGUGGAGUUCGCUGAGCCGAAGCACAACCCUUUUUCAGAAAUUCUGAUCACCUUUGAUCUACGUGACCAUCGGACCAUCAUCCCCUAUGGUGGAACUGCCGCACUCAUUCUGGACCCAAUUGUUGAUGGUUUCCACCUUACCAAGGUCCUGAUGGACGGCGGCGGCAGCUUGAACCUCAUCUAUGCCGAAAUAUUGAAGAAGAUGCAGUUCGACGAGUGGCGCAUUGAGACAAUCACGACCCAGCUCAAGGGUAUCAUCCUAGGCAUGGAGGCCCGUUGCAUCGAAAGGGUCACCCUUCAGAAGCGGCUACCACACCCUCCUAGGUCGGACCUCAAUUCAGCUUUGUACCACACUAUGCUUGCUUGAAUCUCAAGAUGUCGGGCCCUAACAGUGUCAUCACCAUCUACGGGAACAUCGAGCGGUCUUUGAAGACUGAGUAGACCAGUUGGCCCUAGGCAGCCGAGGCAGUUGCUGGAGCCCUGACAGUUGAGGAGCUUGCCGACAUGCGGUCCAAGGACGACAUUAUACUCACCAAGCGCACCAAGUCGAUGUCAUUCCUGCCGACCAGGAGAUCCAAAAGUUCCAAGUGCACUCCGAGGAUCCGACCAAGACGGCCUUGAUGGUAUGGUCGUAUGGUCGGGGGAGGGGAGGGGGGCGCUUUUAUUAACUCAAAAUGUUUCAUCAAGCAGAUACAAUCACAUUGAGCGACACUCGGCCUUUGCAUAGAUAGGAUACAAACAAGUUUGAGAAAGAGAGUAAAUAACUAAAACGACAUAUUGGCAAACUUCUGAGGUAAAUAAGUAGCAUGUGCAUUACUCCGCCUAUGUCUUCUAGGCAUAGCCGGUCCCAAGCCCGGGUAAAGGAGGAGGGUUGUGAUAGGCUUGGCGAGCCAACGUAAAAACUAGCCAGUCCCAUAGGUAUGAAACCCAUUUGAGCAAGAGUAGUACUAGGAUGGGCGACCUCCUGGGAAGUCCUUGUGAAAGGGUUUCAUAUCUAGCCUACCCCAACUUGUUUGGGAUAAAAGGCUUCGUAAGUGUAAGUGACAUAUUGGCAGCGGUAAAAUGCUCAUUGAUAUAAAUGAAAAGCAGAGCCAACGUCAAAGGCCCAUGUAUAUGUUGCUACAUAGCCCAAGCCAUUGAAAACCGUUGACUUGUAGCAAAUCGCAUUGGAGAAGAGGCCAAGACAGGUUUUAGAACUAAAGAAACAACUUUUAUAGUAACUAAUGAAGAAAUAUAAAUAGGUAUAUACAAGUCAGAAUCAACAGCUUCUUUGUUUUGCUUCAUCUUAUCUCUACUGAACUUGAUAGCAUGAUGCAGUGAUGUUGCAGCCUCCCUCAUGAGCAGUAUCAUAUGUAUAUUUGAUCAAUACAAAAGUAAUUUGAGAUAGUUAUAACUACAGAAAAUCUCCUGGCUACUUAGCUAAAGGUUCACUGUGCUAUCUUUUAAAAGUGAGGAUUUUGUUCAUGAUCUCAGCAAAGUAAAUAAAUACAGUAACAAAACAAAUCAUUUUUGUGGUCACUGGUCACUAAUAACACCAAAAGAAGUUGAGAGGAACUGCAGCAAAGAGCAGUGUUUCUAACAUAUCAUACUAUCAAAAAGAAUAUCUUCAUGAUGUUUCCAAUUGAUAGUGCCCAGAAAAAUUGGAGUAAGAAACUAGGAAUAUGUUCUCAAUACUAUUUUAGUACAACCACUCACACAAAAAAAAAUCAGGACUUCUAAUCUGCCAGCAAGUUUCAUCUUGCUAACAGAUAAGUAACAUUUUAGGCAAUUUGGUUUGCAUUUGAUGAGUGCCCAGCAAGUUUCAUCUUGCUAACAGAUAAGUAACAUUUUAGGCAAUUUGGUUUGCAUUUGAUGAGUGCCGUCAGACUGAAAGUAAUGCACAUGCUACUUAUUUUGCAGUUUGCACCAUGCAUAUGAAUGUAAAUCUAAAUUAAGUUUUUUAAGCGAGGAAUUAAGAUUAUUUUCAUGUGCAGUAGAUUAUCUGAUUGUGCAUCCUCAUGAUGAAUAACUCCGCCUAUGUUGUCUCAACAUAGCCGAUCCCAAGCACGGAUAAAGGAGGAGGGUUGUGAUAGGCUUCGCGAGCCAACGUAAAAACUCAGCCAAUCUUAUGAAGAUGAAACCAAAAAGAUUUUUGUUGGGCGUAACCCUCUCAGCGACGCGUCACAUCAGAACCCGGGUGUGGUGUCAAAUGGGCAAGGGCCGGGCCGUCACCCCCUUGGUGGCGUGCCGUAUCUUGUCUGGAUACGGUGGCAAGUGGGCGAGGAUCGGGUCGUCGCAUCCUUAGUGGCGCACUACAUCGGUGCCCGGAUGUAUUGGAAAAUGAGGAAGGGUCUUCGCAUUUGACUCGACGAGUGCGAAGGUUAAGGAAGCUAGCCGAACCUAGGAGGAUUCACUUAGGUUGCUGGAACGUAGGGUCUCUAACAGGGAAGCUUUGGGAGCUAGUUGAUGCAACGGUGAGGAGAGGUGUUGAUAUCCUUUGCGUCCAAGAAACCAAAUGGAGGGGACAGAAGGCGGAGGAGGAUACCGGCUUCAAGUUGUGGUACACGGGGAUGGCUGCAAAGAGAAAUGGCAUAGGCAUCUUGAUCAACAAGAGCCUCAAUUAUGGAUUGGUAGACGUCAAGAGACGUGGGAACCGGAUUAUCCUGGUCAAGCUGGUAGUCGGGGACUUAGUUCUCAAUGUUAUCAGCGCGUAUGCCCCGCAAGUAGGCCACAAUGAGAACACCAAGAGGGAGUACAUCUAACACAGGUUUUGAAGGGGUGCAUGGGGGCUUUGGCUAUGGCAUCAGGAAUCAAGGAGAAUAUGUCUUAAGCUUUGCUCUAGCCUACGACAUGAUUGUAGCUAACACCCUCUUUAGAAAGGGAGAAUUACAUCUGGUGGCUGUUAGUAGUGGCCAACACUCUAGCCAGAUUGAUUUCAUCCUCUCGAGAAGAGAAGAUAGGCGUGCGUGCCUAGAUUGUAAGGUGAUACCUGGAGAGAGUGUUGUACCUCAGCAUAAGCUGGUGGUUGCUGACUUUCGUUUUCGGAUUUGUGUCCAGCGGGAUAAGUGUGCCAAAGUCGCUAGAACGAAGUGGUGGAAACUCAAGGGAGAGGUAGCUCAGGCAUUCAAGGAGAGGGUCAUUAAGGAGGGCCCUUGGGAGGAAGGAGGGGAUGCGGAAAUGUGUGGAUGAAGAUGGCGACUUGCAUUCGUAAAGUGGCCUCGGAGGAGUUUGGAGUGUCCAGGGCAAGGAGAAGCGAAGAUAAGAAUACCUGGUGGUGGAAUGAUGAUGUCCAGAAGGCGAUUAAAGAGAAGAAAGAUUGUUUCAGACACCUAUACCUGGAUAGGAGUGCAGACAACAUAGAGAAGUACUACAAGAUGGUGAAGAAGGCCGCAAAACGAGCUGUCAGUGAAGCAAGGGGUCGGGCGUAUGAGGACCUCUACCAACGGUUAGGCACGAAGGAAGGCGAAGGGACAUCUAUAAGAUGGCCAAGAUUCGAGAGAGGAAGAUGAGGGAUAUUGGCCAAGUCAAAUGUGUCAAGGACGGUCAGACCAACUCCUGGUGAAGGACGAGGAGAUUAAGCAUAGAUGGCGGGAGUACUUCGACAAGCUGUUCAAUGGGGAGAAUGAGAGUUCUACCAUUGAACUGGACGACUCCUUUGAUCAGACCAGCAUGCGUUUUGUGCGGCAAAUCCAGGAGUCUGAGGUCAAGGAGGCUUUAAAAAGGAUGAAAGGAGGCAAGGAGAUGGGCCCUGAUUGUAUCCCCAUUGAGGUGUGGAAAGGCCUCGGGAACAUAGCGAUAGUAUAGGUAACCAAGCUUUUCAACCUCAUUUUUCGGGCAAACAAGAUGCCAGAAGAAUGGAAACGGAGUAUAUUAGUACCAAUCUUCAAGAACAAGGGGGGUGUUCAGAGUUGUACUAAUUACCGUGGAAUUAAGCUGAUGAGCCAUACAAUGAAGCUAUGGGAGAGAGUCAUUGAGCACUGCUUAAGAAGAAUGACAAGCGUGAUCAAAAAUCAGUUUGGUUUCAUGCCUGGGAGGUUGACCAUGGAAGCCAUUUUCUUGGUACGACAACUUAUGGAGAGAGACAGGGAGCACACGAAGGACUUGCUUAUGGUGUUCAUUGACUUGGAGAAGGCCUGUGAUAAGAUACCGUGGAAUGUCAUGUGGUGGGCCUUGGAGAAACACAAAGUCCCAGCAAAGUACAUUACCCUCAUCAAGGACAUGUACGAUAAUGUUGUGACAAGUGUUCGAACAAGUGAUGUCAACACCGAUGACUUCUUGAUUAAGAUAGGACUGUAUCAGGGGGUCAUCUUUGAGCCCUUAUCUUUUUGCGUUGGUGAUGGAUGAGGUGACAAGGGAUAUACAAGGAGAUGUCCCAUGGUGUAUGCUCUUUGCGGAUGAUGUGGUGCUAGUUGAUGAUAGUCGGACGGGGGUAAAUAGGAAGUUAGAGUUAUGGAGACAAACCUUGGAAUCAAAAGGGUUAGGCUUAGUAGAACUAAAACCGAGUACAUGAUGUGCGGUUUCAGUACAACUAGGUGUGAGGAGGAGGUUAGCCUUGAUGGGCGGGUGGUGCCUCAGAAGGACACCUUUCGAUAUUUGGAGCAAUGCUGCAGGAGGAUGGGGGUAUUGAUGAAGAUGUGAACCAUCGAAUCAAAACCGGAUGGAUGAAGUGACGCCAAGCUUCUGGCAUUCUCUGUGACAAAAGAGUGCCACAAAAGCUAAAAGGCAAGUUCUAUAGGACGACGAUUCGACCCGCAAUGUUGUAUGGCGCUGAGUGUUGGCCGACUAAAGGGUGACACGUUCAACAGCUAGGUGUGGCGGAGAUGCGUAUGUUGAGAUGGAUGUGUGGCCACACGAGGAAGAAUCGAGUCCGAAAUGAUGAUAUACGAGAUAGAGUUGGGGUAGCACCAAUUGAAGACAAGCUUGUCCAACAUCGUCUGAGAUGGUUUGGGCAUAUCCAGUGCAGGCCUCCAGAAGCUCCAGUGCAUAGUGGGCGGCUAAUGCGUGCGGAGAAUGUCAAGAGAGGUCGGGGUAGACCGAAUUUGACAUGGGAGGAGUCCGUUAAGAGAGACCUGAAGGGUUGGAGUAUCACCAAAGAACUAGCUAUGGACAGGGAUGCAUGGAAGCUUGUUAUCCAUGUGCCAGAGCCAUGAGUUGGUCGCGAGAUGUUAUGGGUUUCACCACUAGCCUACCCCAACUUGUUUGUUGUUGUUAUUGUUGUUGUUGUUGUUGUUGUUGCAUAACCUGAGCCUACAAUAUCAUAAACUCAUGUAAUUUUGCUCAUAACAUCAGAAAAUGAUGUAUGAAUUUUAUUUGUUGUUUCUUUCAUUCCAUGCUUGCUGAAUCAGUUGCUUGACCAUUUUACCAACAAGCAAUUAGGCUUCAUGAGUUUUAUCUAUCGACUAUAUAUGUUGGAAGUAAUUUUGUUGGAAUUGCAACGGGUGCACCUUCAAAGAUCAUCUUCAAAAGUAUAAGCACACCGAAGAGAGUGCAGACUGCACCGAAAAGAACCUUGCAGUAUCCCAGGCUCUUGCGUCAAAAGUGCUCAGCAACGCCAAUGUCCACCUAGUUUUAAUGGAUAUGCUGGUGGCCUUUGGCAUCGAUGACGCCCCCGGCAUAUGCAGGCGACUCAGGAGCGAGACUCUGAGCACUUCAAAGCCCUGCCUGAUCACCAUCGUCGUGAAAGGGCAUACCUCGGAACCACUGGAUCUCACUGCCAAGGUGAAUUCCGAAGAUACGGUGCUUGCCCUAAACCUCCUGAACAGAGUCCGUAGAGAUCAUAGAGUGAAGGGCCACUUUCAAGUUCUGCACCUAUGGUUUCAAAUGCGCUGAGGGCUUGGAGUAACACGACACAUUCUCGUACAUUCUCACUGCAGAUAGGAUUAACAUGAGAGAUGAAACAACUCAGAAUCUGAAGAGCAAUGGAAGUCGAAUCAGCAACUAGCUGCGGCCUGUAGCUUGUUCACCACCAUCAGACAAUCUGAAACCAGAAUCAUCACCUUCGCUGGUAGCCUUCUGACAGAGCAAAAUGCAGACCUUGGUCAAAUCGCUAUUGCUUCAGCCAGUGAGCCAGGACAUCACCACCCCCACGCCCAUCAUUUGAUCAUCAAUGAAACACUGCAUCAUCAGCAUUACAGGUAACCAUCUUAACACUGACGGUGAUGGCACUCACACCUAGAGGUAGACACCGCGGAAAUAAGACGCUGUUGGAUAAUAUCAAUAUAAGCCCCCUGAUCUUAUGCACAGCCCUUCACGGAACAGGAUCGCCUUUGCUGUUCCGAGCCUCGUUGCAUGCGUCCCAUGGAAACCGACACGUAACAGCAAUAGCAGUGGAUGUUUCUUCUUUUUUACUAGAGUUGUUUCGACAGUAACAUGCUUUCGAUUAUGAGGCAAAUGAAUGGUUCAAGUCACUAUAUGUUGCGGUUCCAGGAUACUUUGAGCGCUUCGAAGCAUUGGUUUGUAGAUAUAUUACUGUUAGGCAUUCAAAUGUACCAGAUUAAGCAAGGGAAAAAUCUAUCUUGCUCCCAGGAAAAGUGUUUCGUAGAAAUGCAGCGGUUAUGGGCAUUUCAGAUUCGUGAUUUGAUCUUCAGCACGAACUGAAAGGAAUGGUUCCUUGAGAAGUUGGAACAAGUAAUUGCAGUCUUUCUUGUGUCCUGAAGAUGGUAAGCAGUUGCACUGUUGACUCAGCUAUCAUUUUUGUUUCUCUGGAGUAUCGAUCAUAUAUAUCCGGGGACCUGACGUCGCGGGCACAUCACCUUUACCUGAUGAUCUGAGAUGCCAAUUGUGCCAAGCCUAAGUGUGAAGAAUCUGCAAGACUGCAACGGUUCACUACCGCCAGCGUCGAGCGGACCCGGAGGAACUCGGCGUUGAAUGGCGGCAGAGCUCACCCCAGCAGUGGAGCUUGAUCCCAGAUCCAUGGAAGCAAGCAAAUCUUCACGGAUGUAUGCCAUCCCUUUGCAGCAAUCUAAGCUCGGGUGGAACUUGGGGGAGCAGAUACAUCAUGUUAUACGUGACCUGAGCGGUGGCUCCUGCUGCUAGAUGGUGAUAUUACGUAGUUGCAUGAGAUUACUGGAGGAGGCAAUAAAUUUCAGACGUAAAUGAACAGGCGCCAGAUUCGAGUAACCAGAAUGUUGGAUCAUGGUGAUGCUUCUUGUCACUUUAUAUCAUGACUAGAGUUGCUCUGACACCAUGUGCACUGAACCUCAGAAUUAUGCAGCAGCCGCAGCAGUUGUGUGCAUGUCAAACUAGUGGUUUGAUUUGAUUUGCAGCAAAGACUGAAGGGAAUGGGUGAGGAACUGUGGAAUAAAUAAAUUUUGCCAAGAAUUGUCAGUUUUUGAUGUGUUUCUGUGGAUCAUCGGCUGUAUAUAGAGUUUGGGAGACCUGACAUCGCCGGCACAUCGCCCAGUGUGCCAAGCUUGAAAGCAACAUUCGUCUGAGCGAGCGAGAUCUGUAUACUGUGUGGUGAUGCAGUCAGAGUCAGGUCACCAACGGCGGCGAGUGUGAACAUUUGCCUCUGUGAGCAAGCAAAGUGAGAUCCGUGUGUUGAGUCAGGAGACAGGGACCGUCCUGCUCUGACUGCUACUGCUGCUGCACUGGUGUUGUUUCUUGUCACUCCUUGGAUGUAUCCGUCGGCGGAGGCGACUGAUCAUCCAUUCACGCAUGGCUCCGCCUCCUCCUGUGUGGACACGGUGGACUAGUGAGCAGCAUCUUGUUGGCAUCGCACUAGUGCGUACUGCUCGGAGAAAAGAAAAUCAAACACAACAGGACUGGUUUCGAAUGAGCCGAGGGCUUGGAGUAACACAACGGAUACCUGUACAUUCUGAGUGCAGAUACGAUUAGCAUGAGGAAAAACAACUCUGUAUCUGAAGAGAAAUGGAAAUUGAAUCAGCAACUAGCUGCAGCCUGUAGCUUGUUCACCAGCCAAAAUCACUACUCGUCGGUAGCCUUCCGACAGAGCAAAUUGCAGACCUUGGUGAAACCGAUAUUGCUUCAGCCAGUUCUGGGUGACACCUUGAAGAGUGUGGUGAAAGCGAACCAGGACAUCACCACCCCCACGCCCAUCAUCAAGGUGGUGAUGUAACACUGCAGCAUCAAUCAACAUUACUAGUAACCAUCUUUGGCACUGACGAUGAUGGCUCACACCUAGAGGUAGGUAACAGCCAUAGCACCGGAUGUUUCUUCUUUUUGACAAGAGUUGUUUCCACAUUAACUUGGAUUAUGAGGUAAUCAGUUGUUUAAACUCACUAUAUCUUGCGGAUACUUUGAGCUCCUCUCGAAGCAUUGGUUUGUAGAUAUAUUACUGUUGGUCAUGCAAAUGCACUAAAAAACCUGUGUUGCUGCCUCCCCUGUAAAGAAAUAUAAAGGCGUUUCGAUCA